GGCCCUGUCAAUCAAGAAGGAGAGGGAGGGGCUGGCUGAGGAAGCAGGAACGGCACGGGUGCACAUAAGGGACUGGGUCCAUCCUCGGUGCACUUCUCCAGAAUGAAGCAACGGAUCAAUAAGUGAAAGUUUUCAGAUGAUUUCAUCUUCAGAAUUUGUUCCACGAUUUCCCACCAGAGGGAACAGUGCGGCAGCCCCAAUCCGUUGUGUCAUCGGAGAUCUUUUAUUAUGGAGAGAUGGAACACGGCUAGAAGAUGUCAUCAUGUGUUGUCUGGUCCUAACGGAGAAGAUGAGGAAAGAGAACGUCUAUAUCAGAGGAGACGUCACUGGAUGUGAGAGACACCAGCCAGCCGCUCUGAGACUGUUUAUGAGCCCUCUGUCCACGGAGGAGGCCACCUACAAAUCGACGUCUUGGGCCAUGUAAGGAUUUCUCCAUCCGUCCAGCAGCUCACUGCACUUUCUUCUGCUCCACUGCCACAGACCUGGAUCCGCUGAUGAGAACAUGACAUGCACUGCGUUUUGCGCCCCCCAAGUUCUCUAUUUGGUACUGCUACUAAGCUGCACUAUUGCAUGUAUGGAAAUGCUGACAAUGUUAGUAUCGAACCAAACCAGGUAUCAAAGUAUUGAUAUUAUUGAUCUUUUGAUGCUCCCAGAAUGCUCUAUUCGCUUUAAUGGAAGUUCCGAGGACAGCCAGGCAUGUGUACAUACUGGGGGUUGUUUCACCAGGAGUGCCAAUGUUUGCCGAUCCCGGCAGUCACGUGGACGUAGGUCACAUCAGCGCUGCAGCUAAGUAGACAAAGCCCACCUGAGUGUCGACCCUGGAGCGGUGGGGAAUUUAGUAACAUUUAUCACAUUGCUAUAUUUCCUUUUAAUGCCGGACAGUCCCUUUAAAGGAUUUGUCCCAACUCCACAACCCCUGUCCUUUUAGACAUCAUAAAUGACUCAGAUAUAGUUGUAUAGUGGUAUCUCACUCUCUCUAUUGACAUAUAUAUCUAUAUACACAUAUAAUGCAUUCGGAAAGUCUUCAUUGUCAUGUUUUAUGUUGCGGCCUUGUGCUAAAAUAAAAUAAAAUAAAAAAUACA